rnacentral:tRNA from 4 species
AAGGCUUUAGCUUAAUUAAAGCGUCUGGGUUGCAUUCAGAAUAUGUGGGAUAGAGUCCUGCAGGCCUUA